rnacentral:misc_RNA from 1 species
GUGCUCUCGACCCACGAUGCGGGCGGCGUGACCGCGCGCGACAUCGCGCUCGCGGAAGCGAUGGACCGGAUUGCGGGCUGAGCCGUCAUUGCGGGCCAAUGGGUCCGGCUUCGCCGGCCCGAUGAUAAACUCCGCGAAGCAAUCCACGGCUACGGGCAGGAAAGCUGGAUCGCUUCGUCGCAAGGGCCGCUCGCAAUGACGUCUUGCAGGGGCGUAUGCGGUUCUUAUGUGAUGCAUGCGCGUUGCAAAGCGCAACCGUGAGG